CAAAAGGUAGUGUGCUUUCUUUUUCUAAUGUAAGCGGAGUUGUGAUUCUUGUUUCACAAUGAAAUCGAAACUAAAAAUUUUGCAAGCUCUUGUUUUUAAAAAAAGUCAUGUAAAUGAGUGUUCAUAGUUCAUACACCAUAAUUUCAAUAAAGAUCUGUUUGUGUUCGCUUCUUGCGAUGUGUGUAUCCAACUUUACUUAAUUUUGUUGCUUUUUUAGGUACAAAGAGGAAAAACGGACGCGCUCAUGGCCUUGAUACCACAAGUGAUUUCUUUGCAGAUUUAUAGUUUUAUGUUUGUGGUGUGGAACUUGCAAUCCCAAGUGGAAAAGUUAAAUAAAUGAUUCGAAGAGGCGCAACAACCCCACACGGAAGUGUUGCAAAAUCGAGUCGAAGAGAUGCAACACAAA